UCUCUUUGGUUAAAUAGGUGUUAAAUUAAGUGAUGCAUCGAAGAAACUGGGAAAGAAGUUUGCAACAGGAGCAUCUAUUGUUAAGGGUCCAACUGAGAAGGAGCAAAUUGAUGUCCAAGGGGAUAUUUCAUAUGAUAUAGUAGAAUUCAUCACAGAAACUUGGCGAGAGGUGCCAGAGUCUGCAAUUUUCUUCAUU